rnacentral:lncRNA from 1 species
ACAAAAUUAGGUACACCCGUGUCUCAAAGCACUUGAUCUGCUGAUGAGGACAUGACUCACCCACUCAACUCAACUUUUAAGAACUCGACUGGUAAUACCGUACUAGUGUUUUCACAUCAAAUCUUGUGCUUUAUGUUAACAUUUGACAAACUUGGUGAACUUAAAUCUUUAGUUUAGUAGUAUAUGUGAAGAGGAGGAGGAGGUUUCCGAGUUGCAAAAUUCUGCAAAAACUCUCAAGAUGUAAACUUACUGCAAGAUUAUAUAAAACCAUCAUUCCAAAUCUUGUUUGGUCUCAUUGAUUCUGUGAACAACUUACUUCAUUACAAACUAGUUUAUGUUUAAUUUUGAUCAGAGACAAACGUACAAUGAAAACCAUCAUUCCAAAUCUUUAUAAGCAAGUUAAAGAAAGGCGAUGAGAGACCAAGAUCGCAGGUUUACUUGCACUGGUUGUUGGUUAAAGCUUUGGUUACACAAUGCGAAACGAUUCCAACCGGGCAGAAGAGAAGGCAAAGCGAAACAGAAUGCCUUGUUUCGAUCUGGUUCAGUAAACCAUCAUUAUAAACUUGCCUACAAGAGAAAACCCAAAACACGCGUUAUUAAGAAACAUGUUCGGAUAAAUUCAGAACCCGGUGAGAAGAAGAAGAAGCCCGGAUAUAUAUACCUGGCAGCGAAAAGAUCGACAACAAGAAGAUGAAUCCACGCAGAAGCAAGAGUCAUUUCACUUGAGAACAUUUUCGCUAUCCCCGACAACUGCAGAUGAAAUUAAACUUUAGAGAUUGCAAUGAUACAUUAUCAUAGACAUUCUUGUUUUUCACAAAUUUCAGGAAAGCGGAUAAACCUCUGGCAACAUGUAUUUACUAGAAAACAUGUAUUUGAGCGUCUCGGGUGUCCAAGAAAGGUAUAACAAAUACGCGUAUAACACGCCUAAGACGAUAUACGGUAAGCUACUCUCCAUACACUUCUUGGUCUGCACAAAGAAACUCAAUUUAGAUCCAAAUUCCUUUGAGUCUGCACAAGAAAUUGCAAAACUUGCAACAAAAAACAUAAUCUUACAAUCUCAGCUUUUGGAGCUACAACCAUAAGAGUGUAAAAGGGAAGAACUGCGGUAGUUCCAACUGCAAACACACUGCUUGCAAUCUGAGAUGUAGCCAACACUGCAACAUAAACAUAUCAGAGAUCAAAACCACAAAAAUGAGUGACAAAGUUUCAAGCUUUAAGUUCAAUGAAAGUGCAGAGAGAGACACAUUACAUGAAGCUUGUACGCCAGAGACUUUCUUGUAAACUACAGAGCAAGAAUUCGAUGAAACAUUGGGGUGAAGCGAGAUUCUUGAUCCUCCAACGAAGCUCCAAGGAUUAUCUAAUCUAAUUCUUGAAGAAUCAAGAAAAAGUUCCGAUCUUUUAACAGUAAAGUUGCGUUUCAUCAUCUGAAAUCAACCAAAAAAGAACGAACUUUUUUUACUUCAUCUCUUAAAAAUUCAGAAACUUUCAUAUAGAAACAGAGGCUCUCUAAAACAGGUGACCCACGGAGAAGUCAAUUCAAUGAUAUAUAAAAAAAACAUUCUGGGUCAAUUCAAAACCCAUUAAAUUCUCCAAAUUGAGUCAAAAGGUAAAGACUUUAAGGUUAUCUAUAACUAUAGUAAGAACCUCAACACAGAAUCUAAACCGACAAAAGAUUCACAAACACAGUAUAAGUGAAAUCUGGAGAUAAAAGAAGAGUACCGAGAGAGAUGAAGAAGAGAAAGGCUGAGAAAUGAGAGAAGUAAAAACCAUCUUUGAUUCAAAACUUCAAUACCCUUUGCCAAAAACUGAUCCUUCAUUACCUAACUUAACCAAACUCUCUCCAUAUAUAGAUGGAACACUGAGUAAUGAUGGUUUGAGAGGUGUUGUUUCCACUGAAUACGGAAGUGGAAGGGUGAAAGAAAAAAGUUGUCUUUCACUCUUUCUUCCUCAGUGUGUCCACAAUUAUAUGCAACACGUUUUUUUUUUGCUCAUACAGUCCUCCUCUUUAAAAAGUUUUCAUCUUUUACGAUAACUUUUCCUUUUUAAUAUAAUUUAGACAUUUUUUUUGACAUCGUAUAAUUUACACUUAUUUUUUUAGUAUAAAAGUUAAUAAUUCCUUUCGAUUUCAUCUUAAAGUUUUAAACUACAUUUUUUUAAAAAAAAAUAUUGGUUUACUUCAAUGAAAGAUAUCAUUUAGUACUUUAGUAUAUAAGUAUAUUAACGUAUAAUAUGUUUUAGUGAAUCAUCGUUAUAUAUAUAGAAUUCAACAUGUUGAUCGACAUUUAUUUAUAUGUAUUGGCUUUGAUUGGUAACACAAUUAAAAGUGGUUGGAGAUUCAAUCAUUCCUUAACUUAGUUACUAAUUAGAUGAACCAUCGAAAUAAACGUAUGAAACGAAUAGUAGAAGGUAUGGUUAAAAAGAUGGUAAAAACUUAAAUGAGGCGGUUGCCAACUGCUCAAAUGAGGCGGUUGCCAACCGCGUCGUUUAUAUGAUGUUGCCAAUAUGAGCCAUUAUGUGAAAGGGAGAUGGAAGUGAAAGUGAAUUUAGGUGGACAAGAGACAAGUCUAGUUUCAGAAAAAGACAAAGGUUGGUGUUGCUCCCAUUAAUUUUGUAAAACAAGAAAAAGAUAGAGAUAUAGUUAAUGGCUAAUAAUCUAAAUAUAUAACUCACUGCUUGAGAAAGUGGAUGAAGUAAGAUAACUUGGGUGGGCUAUUUGGUAUAUAACUUAAAAUUUAAUUAAUGGGCCUUUUGAUCCACCCAUUUUGUUUUUCUUUUGUAACUCCCACUUACACUGUUCAGUCAACAAAUAAAAACAAAUUUGUGGUAUCUUUCAAUCUUGUUGUGGGAUUUUCGCAUUUCGAUGUAUUCGAUGGUGGCCAAAACUAAGAUUAAAUGGUAAAAAGAUUUUUUCCUUAAUUUUUAAAAAGAUUUGAUUAUAUUUUCUGAUUUGAAAACUUUUACUAUAUCUAUAACUUCAAAAAACCGCAAAUUCUUACAAGCCUCAUAUAUCUUAUCCUAUUCCGACAAGUACCUAAACAACAUUACUACAAAUUAUACAUUUCACACUAUAGAGUUCAAAUAUGUGAACUUGGGCCAAGUCAUUUGAUUGAGGAAAUAUAUAAUAUGAUCCACAAGAUCCUUGAAUAUACUCUUGAGUAAAAAAACAAAAGAAUAUUCGAGACCUCUUAUCAAGAAUCCUAUCCUAAAGAAAGCACAUCCACUUAUGUUUCCAUCACUAGAUUUCAAGUGGGUCAUCAUCAUCUUUUACUUCAAGAUAUUGUUUAGUCUAAACCUCUCAAACCUCCUUAAUCGUGUGAUCUAAUCUAUCUUAUGUGUUUCUUCAACUUGUAAAUUUUCAUAUUUGUUGAGUCACAUUGUCCUAUUUUCUUUAAUGUUCAUAUGCAAUUCAAAUUUCAAGAGAUAUUAUAGAACAUUACAUAUUUAUUUCAUCAGAUAGUUGAGAAUCCGAUAGAAAAUGUCUCGCAAACCGGAAAACAAACGUUAAAUCCGGAAAUUAAAACUUUAGAUAAAAAUUAAAAAGAAAAAAGGAAAAAGCAGAAAUUGAUAUAAAAUCAAAGGUGGAGGAGGGGAUGAGAUAAAGUUUUUGAUAUGUUUUACAAGAAACAAAGCAAAGCAAAGAGAGAGAUUAAGCAUCGGUGAAGCGAGGGGGCUUGUAGGCAAUGAAACUGAUGCACUGCACUUGACGGGUGUUGUCGAAUCCGAUGAUCCUGAUGAAGGCUUCAGGGUACUCCUUCUUGCACUCGUUAACUUCCUUCAACACUUGUGCUGAGUCAGUGCAUCCGAACAAGGGUAGCUUCCACAUUGUCCAGUACCUUCCAUCGUAGUAUCCGGGGGUGUUACCGUGCUCACGGUGCACAAACCCGUUCUAUAAUAUAAAAAAAAACCAAACCACACAUGUUACGACCACAACAACAACAACAACAACAAAAGUCCAAGAUCUAAGCUAGUUUAUGUUUUUUUCUUACCUCCAACUCGAAUUCAACACAGGGAAUCCACUUGUUGCGGAGGAGGUAGUCAACUUCCUUUCCCAACUCGACCUCGGAAAGGUCAGGAAGGUAAGAGAGAGUCUCGAACUUCUUCUUUCCGAUCGGAGGCCACACCUUUGAGAUUCAGACAAAACAACAUAUGAGUUCAUGUAAUUCGAACGAAAAAAGAAGAAGAAGAAAAAAGAUGUAUGACCUUCAUGCAGCUAACUCUUCCGCCGUUGCUUGUGAUGGAAGUAAUGUCGUUGUUGGCCUUGCGGGUGGAAGGGAAAGCAGCGGAGGACUUAAGUCCGGUGAAAGGAGCGACCAUAGUGGCCUGAGCCGGGGAGGCAACCAUUGUAGCGGAAGAGAGCAUAGAGGAAGCCAUUGUGUUCUUUCUCUUUUACUCUUUUGUGUGACUGAGGUUCUGUCUAGUGCUUUGGUCAUCUAUAUAUAAUGAUAAUAACAAUGAUAACAAUCACUUGAGUGAUCGUAGGGUCGAGGAAUCAUGAGGCUUGAGUGGGAAAGGAUUUAGACCGUUGGAUGAUGAGUGUGUGGAUAUGUGUGUGUGUGUGAGGUUUUAAGUCACUUGGUAACGGCCACAGAAGCCUAAGGUAAGGUCCUGAGAGACCCUUAUCGGUUUGUAACGCUAGAACAGUGCCACGUGGAAGAUAAAUCUUAUCGUUAUCUAUGAGUG